rnacentral:rRNA from 1 species
GUAGUUAGCCGGGGCUUUCUAAUGGGGUACCGUCAUUUUUUCGUCCCCCACAACAGAGGUUUACAAUCCGAAAACCUUCUUCCCUCACGCGGCGUUGCUGGGUCAGGCUUGCGCCCAUUGCCCAAUAUUCCCCACUGCUGCCUCCCGUAGGAGUCUGGACCGUGUCUCAGUUCCAGUGUGGCCGAUCAGCCUCUCAGCUCGGCUACCCAUCGCAGGCUUGGUGGGCUGUUAUCUCACCAACUACCUAAUGGGACGCGAACCCCUCCUUCAGCGGAUUGCUCCUUUGACCUCAUCCCGAUGCCGGGUCGUGGUCUUAUGCGGUAUUAGCACUUGUUUCCAGGUGUUAUCCCCCUCUAAAGGUCAGGUUGUUCACGCGUUACUCACCCGUGCGCCACUAAGACAUAAACCGAAAUCUAUGUCUCCGUUCGACUUGCAUGUGUUAGGCACGCCGCCAGCGUUCGUCCUCGAGCCACGAGACAACUAACUACGUACUACGUAGACGGCGGUGGCGACGGACGGCGACUAGAG